rnacentral:lncRNA from 1 species
AAAUCUAAACCCUGGCUCAAAGCCGGAAACUCUCCUCAACUCCGACGAAGACCGACCGAGAGGGUUUCGACGGCGCGCCCGGGUAAGGUUGCUUCUCGUCUUUUCUCUUUUUAUUUUAUAUUCUUAUAUAUGUGAUUAAAAUAAAAUAAAAAUGAAAAGGAAAGAAAACCAUAUUAAGAAACAGUAUGAAAAAAUAGAGAAGAAAAAAAAACCUUCUUUUUUUUACAUUUGUUCCCCCCUCGAAAUUACAUUAUUUGUGGCUUUUUAUAGCUGAUUUUACACUUCUAUGUUGACUGUUUUUGGCUACUGUUUCGCUUCAUUUUCGUUACUAUUUCUAUUUUGUCUCUUUUCCUUUUCUUGCGCUGUUUCUACCUCUUUUCUCAUGUUCGCAGGCGCUGACGGAGGAGAAAGGCUGACCCUUACCAUUUUGGUGCAAGAGAGGCAGCCCUCGAGCGAUGUGCACGCCGACACUGCACAUGGAGGCAGCGGCGCAAAGGAAAAGAGGGAACCCUAGGGUUCCCUGAUGCUGUUUAGUCUUUUGGGCCCCAUUGGACCGUUUAGGGUUUUAAAAUUUGGGCUGUGAGUUCAUUUGGUGUUGGCCGGGGCUAAAAUUGGGCUGUACAUUUAAAAUUUAGUCUACAUACUUUAGUUAUGGGACAAUAAGUCUCUAUAUUUUUUUCAUGUAAAAAUCUUGAUCC